AACGAACGCUGGCGGCAGGCGUAACACAUGCAAGUCGAACGCCCCGCAAGGGGAGUGGCAGACGGGUGAGUAACGCGUGGGAACAUACCCUUUUCUACGGAAUAGCUCUGGGAAACUGGAAUUAAUACCGUAUACGCCCUACGGGGGAAAGAUUUAUCGGGGAAGGAUUGGCCCGCGUUGGAUUAGCUAGUUGGUGGGGUAAAGGCCUACCAAGGCGACGAUCCAUAGCUGGUCUGAGAGGAUGAUACGCCACAUUGGGACGGAGACACGGCCCGAACUCCUACGGGAGGCAGCAGUGGGGAAUAUUGGACAAUGGGCGCAAGCCUGAUCCAGCCAUGCCACGUGAGUGAUGAAGGCCUUAGGGUUGUAAAGCUCUUUCACCGAAGAAGAUAAUGACGGUAGUCGGAGAAGAAGCCCCGGCUAACUUCGUGCCAGCCGCCGCAGUAAAAC
rnacentral:rRNA from 1 species